GCGGUGAUGAUGUGACGUGGGUCGUCCUCCAAAGGAAGGCCAUCUAGGAGGAAGGGAUCAGGAUCCAGGAACACAGUAAUACCUGAAAGUGAAACGACCUUUUUGGGUUGUCUUGAUGCAUCUCAAUCAUCCAGGUAUGCUGGACACAGCCAUCCCUGCUGAGCAGGGUUGGUUUUGGUGGGUUU